rnacentral:rRNA from 1 species
UGGGGAAUAUUGGGCAAUGGGCGAAAGCCUGACCCAGCAACGCCGCGUGAGUGAAGAAGGUCUUCGGAUUGUAAAGCUCUGUCCUUAGGGAAGAAAAAAAUGACGGUACCUAAGGAGGAAGCUCCGGCUAACUACGUGCCAGCAGCCGCGGUAAUACGUAGGGAGCAAGCGUUGUCCGGAAUUACUGGGCGUAAAGGGUGCGUAGGCGGCACUGCAAGUCAGAUGUGAAAUACCCGGGCUUAACCUGGGGACUGCAUUUGAAACUGCAGAGCUAGAGUGCAGGAGAGGAAAGUGGAAUUCCUAGUGUAGCGGUGGAAUGCGUAGAUAUUAGGAGGAACACCAGUGGCGAAGGCGACUUUCUGGACUGCAACUGACGCUGAGGCACGAAAGCGUGGGGAGCAAACA